rnacentral:rRNA from 1 species
GACGAACGCUGGCGGCGUGCUUAACACAUGCAAGUCGAACGGAAAGGCCCUGCUUUUGUGGUGUGCUCGAGUGGCGAACGGGUGAGUAACACGUGAGUAACCUGCCCUUGACUUUGGGAUAACUUCAGGAAACUGGGGCUAAUACCGGAUAGGAGCUCCUGCUGCAUGGUGGGGGUUGGAAAGUUUCUGCGGUUGGGGAUGGACUCGCGGCUUAUCAGCUUGUUGGUGGGGUAGUGGCUUACCAAGGCUUUGACGGGUAGCCGGCCUGAGAGGGUGACCGGCCACAUUGGGACUGAGAUACGGCCCAGACUCCUACGGGAGGCAGCAGUGGGGAAUAUUGCACAAUGGGCGGGAGCCUGAUGCAGCAACGCCGCGUGCGGGAUGACGGCCUUUGGGGUGUAAACCGCUUUCGCCUGUGACGAAGCGUGAGUGACGGUAAUGGGUAAAGAAGCACCGGCUAACUACGUG